UGGUGCUGUUUGUUUAUUGAUUCUGCAACGUUAUCCUAAUGUGUUCAAAGGUACCAGGGGAGUCUCAUCAGCAGCAGAUUUCCGCGGGGCUAAGCACAUACUGUGUGUUCCACUGCCUGCAGCAUUUGCUGGAUCUGGCUUCCAGUCCUCAGGUUAAAAAAGUCUUUAACCCUCUGUCCUUAUUUGGAAUAAAACACCACGACUCUUGUUUGAUGCCUUCCUUUAGGUGAGAUGACAUUUCAUGACUUGUGCUGCUGUGAGUAGUUCCAGAACAAGGCAGCAGUGAACAGGAAGGUCUCGGUUACAGAAGUGCGGAAGGGA